rnacentral:rRNA from 1 species
AUUGAACGCUGGCGGAAUGCUUUACACAUGCAAGCCGAACGGCAGCACGGACUUCGGCCUGGUGGUGAGUGGCGAACGGGUGAGUAAUGUAUCGGAACGUGCCCAGUCGUGGGGGAUAACGUAGUGAAAAUUACGCUAAUACCUCAUACGAUCUAUGGAUGAAAGCGGGGGAUCGCAAGACCUCGCGCGAUUGGAGCGGCCGAUAUCAGAUUAGGUAGUUGGUGGGGUAAAGGCCCACCAAGCCAACGAUCUGUAGCUAGUCUGAGAGGACGACCAGCCACACUGGAACUGAGACACGGUCCAGACUCCUACGGGAGGCAGCAGUGGGGAAUUUUGGACAAUGGGCGAAAGCCUGAUCCAGCCAUUCCGCGUGCAGGAUGAAGGCCCUCGGGUUGUAAACUGCUUUUGUACAGAACGAAAAGGUUUCUACUAAAACUAGGAGCUCAUGACGGUACUGUAAGAAUAAGCACCGGCUAACUACGUGCCAGCCGCCGCCGUAA